rnacentral:rRNA from 1 species
UACGUAGGGUGCGAGCGUUGUCCGGAAUUAUUGGGCGUAAAGAGCUUGUAGGCGGUCUGUCGCGUCUGCUGUGAAAAUCCGGGGCUCAACCCCGAACUUGCAGUGGGUACGGGCAGACUAGAGUGUGGUAGGGGAGACUGGAAUUCCUGGUGUAGCGGUGAAAUGCGCAGAUAUCAGGAGGAACACCGAUGGCGAAGGCAGGUCUCUGGGCCACUACUGACGCUGAGAAGCGAAAGCAUGGGGAGCGAACAGG